UGACCUCGAAUCAGGUAGGACUACC
rnacentral:rRNA from 1 species